rnacentral:rRNA from 1 species
GACGAACGCUGGCGGCGUGCUUAACACAUGCAAGUCGAGCGGUAAGGCCCUUUCGGGGGUACACGAGCGGCGAACGGGUGAGUAACACGUGGGUGACCUGCCCUCAGCUCUGGGAUAAGCCUGGGAAACCGGGUCUAAUACCGGAUAUGACUCCAUGACGCAUGUUGUGGGGUGAAAGCCUUGUGCGGCUGAGGAUGGGCCCGCGGCCUAUCAGCUUGUUGGUGGGGUGAUGGCCUACCAAGGCGACGACGGGUAGCCGGCCUGAGAGGGCGACCGGCCACACUGGGACUGAGACACGGCCCAGACUCCUACGGGAGGCAGCAGUGGGGAAUCUUGCGCAA